AAGGCCUAUGUCAGGUCAAUGGUUCUUAUCACUCCCCAAAUCAAUUAAAUAAUUUCUUAAAUAAUUUGAAGGGACAGUUAAAUCUAUUUAUUAAAUCUAUCUAUCAAAUAUUUUAAAUGCUAAGUAAAGUUAAUCAAGUUAUUCAAAAUAUAAUAUUAAUUUUUCUGCAGAGCUUAUACUAAAGAAAAUGGGGUAUAGUUACUUUGUAGCUCUUAGCAGUGACUUCGUUAAAGGUUAGAAAAUGUAUAUGUACAAAUAAAUUUACAACAGAAGGGUUAUCGUGGUAUCCAGAAAUCGUACGACGGCCGAACUCCCAUCGCAUUGUCUCACUGGCGGAACAGUCUUACCAACAUAUGCGAUUACUGGGAAUGAAAUGACUGGAAUCGAUGAUUACAAGGCUGUAUCAGUAUCAUAGACAAUUUCUUUUAGUACCAUAAUACUGAAUUAAAAUGGCUUUAUGUCUUUAUUAUUUAGUAUAAAAAGAUACUGCAUAUCUGUAGUAUAUUUUGUAUACUUGAUAAUUGCUGUCCUGAUAUGGCGUGGAAAUCUGAACAAACAGUUAUCGCGAGCAAUUUACGCAACUUGCCAAGUUACCAGGAUACUGGAAUAUGGAGCGUGCACCCCCAGUACAGUAGCUGAUUCUCAGCGUUUAAUGCUGCUUAAUUUGAUGAAGGAGCAUGAGUGUAACCAACGAACAAUAUACGGGAAGUACUAGAACUUUGGAAAGAAAACGUCAGGCAUGGCAAGAAAUUACUUAGAAGUUCAACGCCAUGUAUCCAGACCAACCUCCACGGUCAUCAAUGCAGUUCAAGCGCUGUUUUGACCACUUAAAACGCAAAGUGAAACAGGAAGAUGCUACUGUCAAGAAAAAGCUAUGCAGAACUGGUGGUGGUCCUCCACCAGAUCUUCGAAACCAUUCCGAAGAGUAUGUGAUAGCCGCAUCGCUGAUGACAGAAUUGAUCAUGGACAAAGAUUUACUUGAAACAUUUCAUCCAGUUGACGAAACAGGAGAGCCCAUACAUGAUAUUAAAAUAAGUAUUACAGAGCCUCUGAUUUGCCUUCAACCUCAGCACUAUUUUCAGUUAUUACGGAGACACUACUUUCAACCUCAGCACAAUCAGAAAGUGGUGUUUCGUCUAAUCGUGAAUCAAGAUCCACAUUCCUUAAUCGGUCAGCUACAUCAUCGGUACCGUCUUCAAUGGAACACUUAAUUUUUAAACCCAUAGUUCCCCACGAAACUUCCCGUCCUUCAACGCCUAUUGUAACUCCAGGCAGAACUUCACCAAAAUUGCGCAACACAUCACGGGAUGUAUCUCCAAUACCUCGGUCUUCUACACCCACAGAGGAAGCACAGUCUUCACCCAAAAAAUUGAAGUUGGACGAUGCAUACAUCAAGUGUAGGGAAAGACAAGAGGAACUGCAUCAUCUUAGAAUGGAAAAUGAAAAGGAGCAACAUAUAAUGGCCAAAAAAGAGCAUGAACUAAAGGUGAAAUUGAUUAACAAUAUGAAUGAAAUGCACUCAUCAGCAAUGACUGUGUUUGCUAACUUGAAUGCUUUUCUUAACUGCAAAAUCUGCUUAUGAAGCAAUGCGCAACUCGUGCCUUAUUGCAAGGGUUACAGUAGGUGUUAUUUCCAUAGAUCACGUGUUUGCUUUUAGGAGAGAAAAAUGGCUCCACUAAUAGGUGUGUUUGUUGAAUGAAGGUUUCAUCAUAAGGUCAGCCUUCACUUAACUUUAUUAUUUCUUUAAUGCUGAAUGGCCAUAGUUGCCCCAUUGCUUGACAUUAUGCCUAAAUUCCAUAAACCAAACCAACCCCAUUUCAUAUUUUUCUAUGCUGUGACGUAGUGUUAGUAUAUAUUUUAUUUUAUACCUAUGGUAUAUGAAGGUGCUCUCAUGAAUCAGGUGUUCCUAUUUGUAAGUUAGUGUAUACUUCCAAAUAUUCAUUUCUUAGUUUGUAUGCUGUUACAUAGGUUUAAUAUGUCCAUUUGUAUCUUGAUAUUAGGUAGGUAUUAUAUAAUAAUGCUUUAAAGAAUCUGAAGUUAAGUGAAAUUAGGUAUUGAGUAUCAUAUAUGUCCAUUUGCAUCUUGAUAUUAAGUAUUAUAUUGUUUUGAUGAAUCUGAUGUUAAGUGAAAUUAGGUAUUGAGUAUCAUACAUUACAAGAUUUACUUCGAAAUUAUAUUUUCAGAAUUGGUAGCCUAUGCUGUGAUAGGGAUAAUAUGUACUAACAGGAUAAUUUAUCAGUUAAUCAGUGUUUAGAACUUAUUAGGUCUAGUAUAAUAUUUUAUUGUCCCUCUUAUUACUUUGGCCAUAUUUUUGAUAUACUUACUCUCCUUCUACUAGACACUGGCUCUUGCGUUGGCAGCCCGUUAUGAUAUAAUUCUUAAACCAGUGUUUCUGAAUAAUGUAUAUUAGACAUCAUAAGUAAAGGUCUAAAUAAUGGUGUCAUGAUUGGACUUGAACCACAGGUCCAGAUAGCUAUGAUUUAACCUGAAUCACAAGUUGUGUUCAGAUUUUUUUUAUCACCAUUUUCAUCUUGCAAGUACAACAGUCUUGUAUUUCUCAGGGUGUCAGAGAGACAACUAUGGUAAGAGUUCCUGAAUAAAUCUUUUUCUUAUGUUAAAAA